rnacentral:lncRNA from 1 species
UGAAAAUUGGAGGCUCACAACAGGAGCAAGGCACUUCUGCAGAGCAACACACCACUGGUGUGUGCUCGCUAAGGUGAGCAAAGAACAGCAGGUGGGUGUGGAUUUCAGUUCUGCUCCAAGCUGCAUGUCUUGGCUUGCAUUUCUGCAGUGGGAAGUUAUGUUUAUACGUAUUUACUUUAAUGGUUUAUUCUAAUUUGUCUUUCCCUAAUAGACUUUAUAGAAAAAAACUAUUCAGUAUAUCAAAGAAAAAGCCAAGCCAACUGAACUAUAUUGCCUGAUGGUAGGUUUCCAAGAGUAGUGACUGCUGUUAGCUGUAGCCCUGGCUUUAGUUCAUUUUUCAGGUUUUGCUGGAGCUGGAGGUAGAUCCUGGGUUGUUUCCUGCUUGCAGGUUGCAGCAGAUGUCUCAGCUGGAACAAGCUCAUCUCUCCCCAGAAAUGGAGCUUCUCAAACACAGACUGGCAGCUGAGGAACUAGCUUCAUGAGAGAAAAGGAGCUAAUGCCUAGCCAUAACCAGGGUCAAAUUGUCACCAAUCGGGAACAAGACCAAAAAAAAACAACAAACCAACCAACCAAUAACAAAACCCAACAAAUCAGCCAUCCAAACAACCAAAAAAAAAAAAAAAAGAUAAGACAGGGAACAGAAGGAGAAGAAUUAAGUCAGGAGGAGAUCUGAUGAAAGAUGGAAGGACAUGCUCUGCAGCUACUUCUAGUCCCUGUGAAUUUACUGGAAGAACGAAUGCCACUACAGCCACAGCAGCUUACUUGUCCUGAGGAUCUCUUGUAGUUUUCUCACCAAACUUUCUUCAGAUUCCAAUUGAUAUGAAAUAAUUUAUUGCUGUGAUAUGACAAAAUAGCAUAUAUUUAACAUGCGAGUGAAUACAUCAUUGCUGUUGUUGGAUGACCUUCUGCAAACAGUAUGAGACACUGGAGAGGCUCUGGUUUAUCCCUGUUUUACCUGAAAAUUCAAGUCCUGAAAGAAGGCAGUUCUUAGAAGGGAAAGAAAGAUUGCAGCAGUAAUAGCAGAGCCAAAGGACCGUGCAGUGUGUCCCCUCUCUCUCACUGUGCUCUAAAUCAGCUAAUCGUGCCACAGUACUUCAGACUCCUGCAUCUUAAGGGCUUCUAGUUCUGCGGUCUCUCUGGGAACAUUUUUCUAACUCUUCAUUGCCUGUCUUUGCAAUCAGAAGGGUUUUCAUUUCUGUAUUUGCCUUAUUGUUAUUCUCUUCAUGUCCUAACAAUCCCAGAGAUGGAGAACAGAUUGCUUUCCCUCUGCCUUUUACCUGUUUGAACCCUGCUACUUGUAUGAGUAAGAGCGACUAAAAGUAAAAUCCAGUCUCUUGCUCUGGAUCUUUUGCACCCAGUAAACAUGCUGUUAAUGUGCUCAGGUAGCUUCAGCUAUCACGUGGAGCAGACAUUGAGGAGGACAGCACCAGAGAGACCUUCUUUACAAGCAUAUAAGCCGAGUGACACACAGUGUGGUAACAACUGGGGCUGGCUACAGGAACUGACACUGUGAAGCACGGAGCAACUCAGGAAAAAUGGCUGUAAUGAUGCCUGCUGGGACAGCAAGUGUCAGGGGGCCAUCUUAAGUCUGCAGUCUCUAAUGAGUGUUUCUCAGACAUUAAUGUAAAUAAUAGUAAUCUGCAUGGACCAGAGGCCACACCAGUUAAGGAACAGUGCUCCUCCUGAGUUGGA